rnacentral:rRNA from 1 species
UACGUAGGGUGCGAGCGUUGUCCGGAAUUACUGGGCGUAAAGAGCUUGUAGGUGGUUUGUCGCGUUGGUCGUGAAAUCUCACGGCUUAACUGUGAGCGUGCGGGCGAUACGGGCAGACUAGAGUACUGCAGGGGAGACUGGAAUUCCUGGUGUAGCGGUGGAAUGCGCAGAUAUCAGGAGGAACACCGGUGGCGAAGGCGGGUCUCUGGGCAGUAACUGACGCUGAGAAGCGAAAGCGUGGGGAGCGAACAGG